rnacentral:rRNA from 1 species
AUUGAACGCUGGCGGCAUGCUUUACACAUGCAAGUCGAACGGUAACAGGGUGCUUGCACCGCUGACGAGUGGCGAACGGGUGAGUAAUGCGUCGGAACGCACCGAGUAAUGGGGGAUAACGCAGCGAAAGCUGUGCUAAUACCGCAUACGCUCUGAGGAGGAAAGCGGGGGACCUUCGGGCCUCGCGUUAUUCGAGCGGCCGACGUCUGAUUAGCUAGUAGGUGAGGUAAGAGCUCACCUAGGCGACGAUCAGUAGCGGGUCUGAGAGGAUGAUCCGCCACACCGGGACUGAGACACGGCCCAGACUCCUACGGGAGGCAGCAGUGGGGAAUUUUGGACAAUGGGCGCAAGCCUGAUCCAGCCGUGCCGCGUGGCUGAAGAAGGCCUUCGGGUUGUAAAGGACUUUUGUCAGGGAGGAAAUCCUUAGCGCUAAUACCGUUGAGGGAUGACAGUACCUGAAGAAUAAGCACCGGCUAACUACGUGCCAGCCGCCGCGGUAA